rnacentral:rRNA from 1 species
CCUACGGGGCGCAGCAGUGGGGAAUAUUCCACAAUGGGGGACACCCUGAUGCAGCGACGCCGCGUGAGUGAAGAAGGUCUUCGGAUCGUAAAACCCUGUUGUUAGAGAAGAAAGUGCGUGAGAGUAACUGUUCACGUUUCGACGGUAUCUAACCAGAAAGCCACGGCUAACUACGUGCCAGCAGCCGCGGUAAUACGUAGGUGGCAAGCGUUAUCCGGAUUUAUUGGGCGUAAAGGGAACGCAGGCGGUCUUUUAAGUCUGAUGUGAAAGCCUUCGGCUUAACCGCAGUAGUGCAUUGGGAAACC